UGGGGAAUAUUGCGCAAUGGGCGAAAGCCUGACGCAGCGACGCCGCGUGAGGGAUGAAGGUUUUCGGAUUGUAAACCUCUGUCAGAAGGGAAGAAACCGCACUGUGCUAAUCAGCAGUGCCUUGACGGUACCUUCAAAGGAAGCACCGGCUAACUCCGUGCCAGCAGCCGCGGUAAUACGGAGGGUGCAAGCGUUAAUCGGAAUUACUGGGCGUAAAGCGCACGUAGGCUGCUUUGUAAGUCAGGGGUGAAAUCCCACGGCUCAACCGUGGAACUGCCUUUGAUACUGCUUAGCUUGAAUCCGGGAGAGGGUGGCGGAAUUCCAGGUGUAGGAGUGAAAUCCGUAGAUAUCUGGAGGAACAUCAGUGGCGAAGGCGGCCACCUGGACCGGUAUUGACGCUGAGGUGCGAAAGCGUGGGGAGCAAACAGG
rnacentral:rRNA from 1 species